UUGUUGCUCGAGGCUUGCCGUAGUUCGAAUCAGGGACAGGAUGAGUCCGCCCUAUUCUGCCCCCGAUUGGCUGACCGAGAUAUGUGAUAACCAAUCAUCAGCCCUCGAGGCUAAAUCUAACCAACCCAACGAAAGGCACCACGUAUACAAACCAAUCAGAGGCAGUUUAGGGCGGGUCAUUGCGUCUCUAUCCUAUGAAGAACAACCUAACUCUAUGGCGGAGAAAUCGAAAAGUAAACGUGAAACGUCUGUGUCAGCGCCUCAAUAAUGCCGUGACUGACAUGUUCAUCUGAAGCGGGAGGUCAAACGGUAGAUACGGAGUUUCAUCCGCAAGUUGCUCUCGAAGUUUCUGAAGCCAGCAGCACUGCAGCACCGGGAAUUGCAUGAAAUCCUCUAUAAGGACCCAUCAAACCAACUGCCAUAGGAGAAAAGCUGGUGAUCGGCUUCACUACUCGAGCUACACUCAACAGGCUCCUUGAUGCAGGAGACAUUACACCGCAGCAAGUGCAGAGGUUCCAGCAGGCAGCAGUGGCGUUUCUGGUGAGGGCUGUGGAGUAUGCCAUGAAGAAAUUCCACAUGAGAGCCCCUGAUAAAACAUGCCAUGUUUCUGGAUGUCCAGCAGAGGGUAGA